rnacentral:rRNA from 1 species
CCUACGUGCGGCUGCAGUGAGGAAUAUUGGUCAAUGGGCGGGAGCCUGAACCAGCCAAGUCGCGUGAAGGAAGAAGGUACUUAGUAUUGUAAACUUCUUUUGUCAGGGAAUAAAAGCGGAGACGCGUCUCCGGAUGAGUGUACCCGAAGAAAAAGCAUCGGCUAACUCCGUGCCAGCAGCCGCGGUAAUACGUAGGUGGCAAGCGUUAUCCGGAUUUACUGGGUGUAAAGGGCGUGUAGGCGGGAAAGCAAGUCAGAUGUGAAAACCAUGGGCUCAACCGGAGACUUGCAAUUGAAACUGGUAUUCUUGAGUACAGGAGAGGUAGACGGAAUUCCUAGUGUAGCGGUGAAAUGCGUAGAGAUUAGGAGGAACACCGGUUGCGAAGGCAGUCUGCUGGACAGCAACUGACGCUGAGGCGCGAAAGCGUGGGGAGCAAACAGGAUUAGAUACCCGGGUAGUC